rnacentral:rRNA from 1 species
ACGGGAGGCAGCAGUGAGGAAUAUUGGUCAAUGGGCGUAAGCCUGAACCAGCCAAGUAGCGUGAGGGAUGACUGCCCUACGGGUUGUAAACCUCUUUUGUUUGGGAAUAAAGUAGACUACGUGUAGUCUUUUGCAUGUACCUUUCGAAUAAGCAUCGGCUAAUUCCGUGCCAGCAGCCGCGGUAAUACGGAAGAUGCGAGCGUUAUCCGGAUUUAUUGGGUUUAAAGGGAGCGUAGGCGGCCUGUUAAGUCUGCGGUCAAAUGUCAGGGCCCAACCUUGGCAUGCCGUGGAUACUGGCGGGCUUGAGUGCACACAAGGAAGGUGGAAUUCGUCGUGUAGCGGUGAAAUGCUUAGAUAUGACGAAGAACUCCGAUUGGGAAGCCAGCUUACUGUAGCGCCACUGACGCUGAUGCUCGAAAGCGUGGGUAUCGAACAGGAUUAGAUACCCUGGUA